GGUAAUUUUGCCAUUUAAUGUAGAAGACGUUACUCUUCAGACCGAUUAAUGAUCUCAUCAAUCAAAGGCAACGCUCUUCUGGGCGACCAAUUAACCAGAAGAUAAAACUCACCCAUCGAACGGAUCUAUUGCCACAAGUGGUUUGGCCUAUAUAAGGUUCACCAUAAUCUUCUCUUUGUUCACAUUCGUUUCUCAAGUCCAGAGCAAAUUUUACACUUUGUGGUACCACUGUUUUCUUUGGUGAACACUCCUACUGCUAUACUUUUAUUGCUCAGACACCAGAACACACUAAUGGUGAGCCAAAUCACAUGUAGCACCUCAAAAACUGUUCCAAGAAGCACCUACAAGAGAUUCAAGCAGCUGCGUGAUAUGGCGGAAGGGGAAAACUGGAUGACGAGAGUCAUGAUUUCCCGAACAUGGAAUGAAUUGGAUUUUUUGGGAACCAAUGAGGUCCAAAGCUUGGACCUCCUAAUGAUAGACGAAAAUGGAGAUCAGGUGAUAGGAUCUCUAAAUGUUCGGUCAAAUAUGAUGAUAUGGAGGCAGAAUUGUUUAGAAAUACGAAACUAAUUAUUUGGGAUGAGGUGGCGAUGCAGCACCGGUUUUGCAUUGAGGCGGUGGACAGAUCACUAAGAGAUGUGAGGAAGAGUGAAACCCUUCAGGCAGACUUUACCUACCAUUGAAAAGGGAAGCCGAGAACAGAUCGUGGGUGCAUCUAUUAGGAGCUCAAAACUCUGGAAAGGAGUGAAAGUCCUCAGAAAAUGUUGAAUUCGCCGAGUUCUUGCUACAGGUUGGACAGACCCGAAGGAGAAAGUGGACUUGCCAACGGCAAUAUAUAGAUGCACGGAUCUGAAGGACUUGAUUUCACAAGUCUAUCCAGGAAUUGAGGACAAUAUAAUGCCGACGGCCAGCUACUUGACUGAGAGGACUAUUUUGUCUCCGAGAAAUGAAGGCGUUGCUGUAAUGAAUGAGAUGAUCCUGAAAAUGUACAAAGGCCAUAAGUACUCUUAUCUAGCGGCGGACAAAGAGGCAGAGAAUUUAGAAAAGGGUUCAACGGGAAAUACAGGAUGUCCAAGUGAGUGUUUGAAUACCAUGAAUCCACCAGGAUUACCGCAAUUUAAAUUGGACCUAAAAGUGGGGUGUCCUGCGAUGAUUCUGAGGAAUAUCUCACCGACGAAUGGGAUGUGCAACGGGACCAGAAUAAGGGUAGAGAGAUGUGCACCUCAUGUAAUAGAAGCAACAAUCUUGACGGUAGACAAGCAGGGAGAAUUGGUUUUCAUUCCACGGAUAUCAUCGACUCCGUCGUCAUCAAGCAUACCUGUUAGGAUGACCAGGAGACAAUUUCCUAUUAGGCUGGCGUACGCAAUGACAAUAAACAAGUCACAGGGACAAUCCGUAAAAUAUGUAGGAAUUGAUUUGAGAAAUCCGGUUUUCAGCCAUGGUCAACUUUAUGUGGCGCUGUCGAGAUGCACAACGGCGAGAAGAAUCAAAAUCUUAUUACCUGAUGAUGAGGUUGGGCAACAAACUACCAACAUGGUGUAUCCGGAGGUGCUAUUAUAAAUUAUGGGUAGAAUUACAAGUUCAAGAUCAAUAAUUGGAUUGGAUAUACUUUUACUCUUGGCUUGGUUUUAUUCCAUUUAAUCGUACGAUUCAUAUACCACAUUUUUUAGAACUUUUUUUUAUAUGUUACUCUUCUAUUCAUUGAUCUUUAGUUGAAAACUUUCUAAUCAGUUUAUGAUUCAGUAAUAAUUCUUUAAACUUCUA